AGAUCUUGGGAACCUCUGAGAAUUCAUCUCUGAAUGCUCAAGGCACCAUAGUGUUAUGCUUUCAGAUUCAGAAGUUGAGUCCAUGACCAUCCUGUUGGGAAGCAUGGCAGCAAACAGACAAACAGACACAGUGCUGGAUUAGCACCUGAUAGCUUACAUAUUGAAAACACAAUCAUAAAGCAAAGAGG